rnacentral:rRNA from 1 species
AUGGGGAAGAAGUACUGACGGUACCCAUCGAAUCAGCCUCGGCUAACUCCGUGCCAGCAGCCGCGGUAAUACGGAGGAGGCAAGCGUUAUCCGGAAUUAUUGGGCGUAAAGCGUCCGUAGGUGGUUGUUCAAGUCAACUGUUAAAGCGUGGGGCUCAACUCCAUAAGGGCGGUUGAAACUGAAUGGCUAGAGUGCGAUAGGGGCAAGGGGAAUUCCCAGUGUAGCGGUGAAAUGCGUAGAUAUUGG